UGGGGAAUAUUGGACAAUGGGGGAAACCCUGAUCCAGCAAUGCCGCGUGAGUGAUGAAGGCCCUAGGGUUGUAAAGCUCUUUUACCCGGGAAGAUAAUGACUGUACCGGGAGAAUAAGCCCCGGCUAACUCCGUGCCAGCAGCCGCGGUAAUACGGAGGGGGCUAGCGUUGUUCGGAAUUACUGGGCGUAAAGCGCACGUAGGCGGCUUUGCAAGUUAGAGGUGAAAGCCCGGGGCUCAACCCCGGAAUUGCCUUUAAAACUGCAUCGCUAGAAUCGUGGAGAGGUGAGUGGAAUUCCGAGUGUAGAGGUGAAAUUCGUAGAUAUUCGGAAGAACACCAGUGGCGAAGGCGACUCACUGGACACGUAUUGACGCUGAGGUGCGAAAGCGUGGGGAGCAAACA
rnacentral:rRNA from 1 species